AUUGAACGCUGGCGGCAGGCCUAACACAUGCAAGUCGAGCGGAUGAGAGGAGCUUGCUUCUCGAUUCAGCGGCGGACGGGUGAGUAAUGCCUAGGAAUCUGCCUGGUAGUGGGGGACAACGUUUCGAAAGGAACGCUAAUACCGCAUACGUCCUACGGGAGAAAGCAGGGGACCUUCGGGCCUUGCGCUAUCAGAUGAGCCUAGGUCGGAUUAGCUAGUUGGUGAGGUAAUGGCUCACCAAGGCGACGAUCCGUAACUGGUCUGAGAGGAGGAUCAGUCAAACUGGAACUGAGACACGGUCCAGACUCCUACGGGAGGCAGCAGUGGGAAUAUUGGACAAUGGGCGAAAGCCUGAUCCAGCCAUGCCGCGUGUGUGAAGAAGGUCUUCGGAUUGUAAAGCACUUUAAGUUGGGAGGAAGGGUUGUAGAUUAAUACUCUGCAAUUUUGACGUUACCGACAGAAUAAGCACCGGCUAACUCUGUGCCAGCAGCCGCCGUAACAC
rnacentral:rRNA from 1 species